CAGUAUGGUGUAUCACCAGAAAGGUUUGGAGAGUACAAAGAACUAUGUAGUUUCUUCAAGGUCUUAACAACUAGUGCAGAUUCAGAUAAUAAGGUCUAUGUCUCCACAGUCCAUGCACACAAUUAUCCUGUUACUGCCUUCCAGUGGCAUCCAGAGGAAAUUUCUGCCUUGAGAAUGGAACCGUUCUGGAAGA